rnacentral:rRNA from 1 species
UACAGAGGUCCCGAGCGUUGUUCGGAUUCACUGGGCGUAAAGGGUGCGUAGGUGGUUAGGUAAGUCCGAUGUGAAAUCUCCAGGCUCAACCUGGAAAUGGCAUUGGAUACUAUUUAGCUUGAGGAGUGGGAGGGGGGACUGGGAAUUCUCGGUGUAGCAGUGAAAUGCGUAGAUAUCGAGAGGAACACCAGUGGCGAAGGCGAGUCCCUGGACACUUCCUGACACUGAGGCACGAAAGCUAGGGGAGCAAACAGG